ensembl:rRNA 5S_rRNA 5S ribosomal RNA
UAUAGCCAUACCACCCUGAACACGCCCAAUCUUCUCUGAUCUCAGAAGCUAAGCAGGUUCGGGCCUGGUUAGUACUUGGAUGGGAGAAUUCUAUUUUUAAAUACUUGCUACUAAAAUAG